rnacentral:lncRNA from 10 species
UCUUGCCUGCUGUCAUGUAAGACGUGCCUUUCCCUUUUCCAUCAUGAUGUGAGGCCCUCCAGCCAUGUGUAACUGCAGCAGGCAGCAGCCAAAACAUACCACACAUCUACAGUGAGACGCUUACCACAACAAUUCUGUGAAAAAGGUGUGGAUGUUCCUAUUUCACAGAAAAGGAAAUAAAAGCUCAGAGGAACUAAAGAAUUUUCUACACGUCACCUGUUGGAAAGAUAUAUAAUAAUUCAAGUGCAAAUCCUGUGUCAACUUGUGGAAGACAAAAGCAUAUAAGACAUGGCUGUUGACCUAGUAAAGCUCACGGUAUCAUGGUAUACAAACAGGAGUAGAAAUGGCUGUAAUUCAAAGCCUUGGCUUACAGCAAAGAUGAAAGUCAGUUAAAAGGAAUAAAUCAUGCACCAA